CCUACGGGAGGCAGCAGUGGGGAAUAUUGGGCAAUGGGCGCAAGCCUGACCCAGCAACGCCGCGUGAAGGAAGAAGGCCCUCGGGUUGUAAACUUCUUUUAUUCGGGACGCAACAAAUGACGGUACCGCAUGGAUAAGCCACGGCUAACUACGUGCAAGCAGCCGCGGUAAUACGUAGGUCGCAAGCGUUAUCCGGAUUUAAUGGGUGUAAAGGGCGUGUAGGCGGGAGGGCAAGUCAGACGGUAAAUUCCAGGGCUGAACCCUGGAACUGCGGUUGAAACUGUUCUUCUUGAGUGAUGGAGAGGCAGGCGGAAUUCCGGGUGUAGCGGUGAAAUGCGUAGAUAUACGGAGGAACACCAGUGGCGAAGGCGGCCUGCUGGACAUUAACUGACGCUGAGGCGCGAAAGCGCGGGGAGCAAACAGGAUUAGAUACCCGUGUAGUC
rnacentral:rRNA from 1 species